CAAAAGGUAGUUUAUUAAAAAUGCUAGUUUUGGGGAUUAGAGAAGGAGGUGCAAGAUCUCUUCUUUUGA
rnacentral:tRNA from 1 species